ACCUCACCUCCCUUCCCUUCCCCUCCCCUCAGACGUCAGGCGAACCCCGUCCCCGCCGGGCGCGGGAUUAGAGAGGGCUGAAUGAAUAAAUAAACGACGGCGGGGGGGAAGCGCGGGGGGGUGAGGAGGGGAAGAGAAGAGAAGAGGCGAGGCCGGUGGGAGGAAAGUGAAAGGGAAGCCGGAGAGGGGCAGCCGGAUGAGCUCAGCCCGGGAGGGCCGGUGCGGCCGCCGAUUGGGCGGGAGCGCGUCGCGCAGUCGGACAUCGGAGACGGAGGAGAUGCCGAGAAGCCGCCCCCCGCCCCAGCCCGCCGGGGCACCGGCGCCCCGGGUGCCGCUUCCCGCGGCGCGCUGCGCCCGCCAGGCCUGCUGCCCCGGGCGGCCCGCCAGAUGCUGCCGCCUGCCGUGAUGUUCCAUAUGAUUUGUGCCAUUCCCCAAGGACAAAGCGGAGAGAUCCUUGGUUUGGACAGUUCCUGCUGUGGCUCCUCCACCAGCCCUCCUCCCAGCUGCCCACACCAGAAACACAGCUAGGCCUUAACCCAUGGCAGUUCCUAGCAGCUGACAGGGCCACCAAAGCUCUUAGUAACUGCUAUAAUAUAAAGCAAAUAUUCUUUGAGCUCCUUUAAUCUGUCCACAAGACUGAUCCAGUGCUUAUCAGCCUCAGUAUUAGCAAGGGGCAGAACUGGUAAUUAUUGUCAUGUCGUAGGUGUUGCUUGUGGAUGGUUUCCCAGGCAGUCUUGCCAAAUGUCAUUUUCCUCCAGUAGCAGCCCUGGGUGUUCAGCUCUUCUGCAUAUGAAAUGUAUGAUGAAGAGUGUCCUGACUUUCACUGUUUGAAAAAAUAAUGUAGAAAAUACCACCUUAAUUGGUUGGUUGCACCAUGGAAGAGGCAUUUCUUGGAGCAGCUGCCUGUUAGAACCUUCCUACAGACUGUGUUGUUGCAUCAUAAGUACACCUGGCCUGGCUGGGUUCAAGAUCACCCACGGUCUGUAUUUACCAUGGUUAUUAUUUGACCAUAAACACAUAGUCUUAUUCUAAAAGGCAGCCUUGAAGGCAGAUUCUCUUGGGUCUGGUAAUUUGAGUAGAAUAGAUCAGCUAGAUACAUGCUGUAGAGGUCGGGUAGAUGUAUCUGUGGUUUAGGAGCAAACUUUUACUUGGUGAUGUUUGGGGUGGGUAUUAUUUCCUUCAUAAGUCUUUGGCACAUCUCUCUGAAGGAGAAUGUGUGCGUACCGAUUUAUUUCAUGGCUGCUGAGUCCAAAGGUGACCUGCAGGACUUGGGCAGCUCUCUGAAUUGGCGUAAAGACUUAGAAGACAUGAAAUUCAGGUGGCCACGCUUGGCCUUAAAAAGCUUUCACUGACAGAGUCUGAAUGAAAUAACUCUCUGGGGUUCAAAACAGCAGGCAUUCUCAGAUACAAGGGAUUAAAAGGCUUUUUAAUGUGGCUUAGUAGUGUACAGAAGAUUGGCUUACUUGUAUGAGCCCUUCUUUCUUCACAUUGAUCUUUAUUUUGCAUUGUGCUUAGUACAACAGAAACUGGAGGCUGAAGUCUUCUUUCCUGAAUCAUCUGACAGGACUUGGCCCUUUUAUUGCUUAGUAAAAUCUUUUUUUUUUUUUGUGAAGGAGGAAUCGAUUUUUGCCAGUGUAGCCAGUGUUGAGUAAUAGCUGAAGAAUACCAAGUUGUAAUAAUUUUAUGAACACUGUAUGUGGCCAGGUUGGUGAGAGGAAGUUACUAUACAAUGGGUUAUACUACUUUAUAUUACUUUCCUGUAUAGAUGUAUCGAUCUAACUUAAUAGGGAGCUAGCUGAUGAAGGAAUAAAAGGCAAUUCAGUGGUUCCCCUGUGUCAGCUAUAUGUGGCUAAACCCAUGAGGUGGUAAUUACAAGAACGAUAGCUCCAAUUCUGAGGGAUGCAGCUGGUUUGUCAGGCUGAGAACUAAAAAUCAGAGGAUGAUAAAGUUGGCAGAGACUGAUGGAAGAAAUAAUUUAACACAGAGGUAGACUUUGCAGAAGAGGCUGGAAAAAGCUGGGCCUUUUUGCAGGAAUGGAAUGAACAGCAGAGUACAGAGGCUGAAUAGGUGUUUGUGCUGCAGCUGACUCCACAAAGAGCAUAUGUUGAACAAGUUCUUCCUGGACAGAGAAUUCUGCCCAAACAGAGAUAGCUGCAAGGUCAGAGCCAAGCAUGAAAAAUAUCUCCCUUUCAAAUUAAAGCUUUUAUAUGCACGACAAGGAGAUGUAUAGUGUUGUUUGGUGCAGUGCUGGAUAUACUGAACAACUUGUUCACUCACCAAAGGGAAUUGGAUUACUUUGGAAAUCCACAUCUGAAUGUAGGACCAGAUAUUAAAGAAAGUCAAAGUUGGCUUGGUUUGUUCAAGUAAGGGAGAACAGAAUUGAAGAAAAUAUUUCCCAGUAGAAAUUCAGUGAAAAUAUGCUGUAAGUCCAGCAUUCCAAGAUUGAAUCUUUAGUCUUUAUUUUCUUUCCAGUGAAUGUAUGCAUGAUCCAGUAAUAACAAAAGUUACCAGAAACAUAUUUUAGUAAAACCUCAUUAAUCAGUAUACCUGAUGUUCAUUACAUUUAAUGAGAAAUCACUGAGCAAAUGUGCUCAUUAGUGACUUACUGGACAGCUUUGUGAAAGGUACUUGACUAAAACCCUGUUUCAGUUACUGUACAUUUAACAAGCUCCAUGAAUAGCUAUGGUCUCCCUGCUUCCUGUUUCUCAGGCGCACUGGCAGUAUGUCUGAAAUGUUAUAAAACGAUAACCCUCAGUAUGGAGGUUGCAGACCAGACUGGUUGUUUAUCAGGGUGCUGAAAUCUUGGAUCCCACAUUCUCCUCUGCUGUUUCUCAUGCUAUGCAUGCACUUGGCAAGCUGCUGCUUCAUGUGGCAUGUCUCCCUGGCAUUCACAAGCUACACAGCCCUUCAGCGUCUUACCAUUUGAAUAGUCAGUCGAGGCUUCGGAAAGCCUCCCGAACCCACGUCCCUGCCUACUGACUGCUUUUGUUUUGUAUUUGCAUGCUGUGCCCAUUAGGGCAGUGGGCUCCUGAUUCAUUAUAGGACUAUAUGGAACAGUAACAGAACUGGGGUUGAAGUGUUGUUCACUCUAGAGAAUUAGCUCCUCUGCUCUGAGCCUGCUCUCCCUCCAGUGCUUCCAAUGGAAUGGAAAAGCACCCUGUUCACCCAUCAGCCUGACCACAAUUCAUAUCUACCAGUAGUUGUUACUGUGAUGCUCCCUUGAAUUCCCAAGUUUAAACUUCUUGGAGUCCCAAGUCCAAGAGGCCAAGGAGAAGCUGGUGCUAUUUAUAAUGAAAACAGCUUCCAUGAGGAAAAAAGUGACGACUCUAGAGCAAAUAAGGCUAUGCAGAUAUCAAUCUGUCUAUUAUUUGGUUUGUUUUGGAUAAUGGAAAAGUAGUCUGUACAAAGAAAAAGCCGUAUCUCUUAAUUUUUUGUGGUGGUCAGACAUUCUGGAGUUGUAUUUUAGUCAACGAACAGCUUUAUUUAAGUCUUCUUCUAAAAACCUAGUAUUACUGGGAUGCUAGUUAAAAUCAGAAGACUCGGUGCAAUGGGCCCA